UAGGCAAGGGAGGGGGCCACUGAACCUUGGGUUCCCAGCAGGAGCUAGGACCUGCCUGCCUCUUCCCCUGCAAGCGCACACACACACACACACACACACACUCUCUCACUUCCACCCCCACACUCUCCUUCCACUCACUCCCACUCACCACUUGAAAUGCGCAUGUAUAAUGCCCCAUGGAAGCCCUCCCUGACUUCCCAGUGCCUGCUGUGGACAUUUCCAAUGCCCUCGGCUACCUCCAUCAGAGCACAGAUAUCAUCAGAUGGUGACUGUGUCCCUGUGUGUCUGCCCUGGAGGGCCUGGGCUCAAGCCACCUCUAUGUCCCCAGCAUCGCAUCACAUGGGGCACGUGGCGGUCCUCAGGCAUGAUUAAAUGAGGGGGAUGCUCCUGCUCUCUCUCCCUAGAGACCCUGGCUGCCUCCCAUCUGCCUGGGAGACACUAGAAGUUUUUGCAAGGCCCAGCAAGGACCCUACCUCCUCCAGCACGCCUCUUCCUGGACGUCCCGGGCUGGGCCCUGUGCCGCCUGCGUUGUCACACAGUACACCAGACGAGACCGUGCCCAGGUCUCUCUCCCACCCCUCCCCAUGCCACCCCCUGCCGUCCCACCAGGGUGAGUCCCAGCUCGGACUUGGUCUCGGUCCCGGCAUUUCCCAGGGAGACUUUAGGACCAUGUGUU